UGGGGAAUAUUGGACAAUGGGCGAAAGCCUGAUCCAGCAAUGCCGCGUGAGUGAUGAAGGCCUUAGGGUUGUAAAGCUCUUUUACCAGGGAUGAUAAUGACAGUACCUGGAGAAUAAGCUCCGGCUAACUCCGUGCCAGCAGCCGCGGUAAUACGGAGGGAGCUAGCGUUGUUCGGAAUUACUGGGCGUAAAGCGUACGUAGGCGGUGACUCAAGUCAGAGGUGAAAGCCUGGAGCUCAACUCCAGAACUGCCUUUGAAACUAGGUCGCUAGAAUCACGGAGAGGUGAGUGGAAUUCCGAGUGUAGAGGUGAAAUUCGUAGAUAUUCGGAAGAACACCAGUGGCGAAGGCGGCUCACUGGAAGUGUAUUGACGCUGAGGUACGAAAGCGUGGGGAGCAAACAGGAUUAGAUACCCACGUAGUCCCUGAGCGGGCUGGCAAGGCG
rnacentral:rRNA from 1 species